AUUGAACGCUAGCGGCAGGCCUAACACAUGCAAGUCGAACGAGUGGCGGACGGGUGAGUAAUGUCUGGGAAACUGCCCGAUGGAGGGGGAUAAAUACUGGAAACGGUAGCUAAUACCGCAUACCAUCGGAUGUGCCCAGAUGGUGUUAGCUAGUAGGUGGGGUAACGGCUCACCUAGGCGCAGGUCCCUAGCUGGUCUGAGAGGCUGACCAGCCACACUGCAACGUCGACACGGUCCAGACUCCGACGGGAGGCAGCAGUGGGGAAGAUUGCACAAUGGGCGCAAUCCUGAUGCAGCCAUGCCGCGUGUAUGAAGAAGGCCUUCGGGUUGUAAAGUACUUUCAGCGAGGAGGCGUUACUCGCAGAAGAAGCACCGGCUAACUCCGUGCCAGCAGCCGCGGUAAUAC
rnacentral:rRNA from 1 species